AGUGAACGCUGGCGGUAGGCCUAACACAUGCAAGUCGAACGGCAGCACAGUAAGAGCUUGCUCUUACGGGUGGCGAGUGGCGGACGGGUGAGGAAUACAUCGGAAUCUACUUUUUCGUGGGGGAUAACGUAGGGAAACUUACGCUAAUACCGCAUACGACCUACGGGUGAAAGCAGGGGAUCUUCGGACCUUGCGCGAUUGAAUGAGCCGAUGUCGGAUUAGCUAGUUGGCGGGGUAAAGGCCCACCAAGGCGACGAUCCGUAGCUGGUCUGAGAGGAGGAUCAGCCACACUGGAACUGAGACACGGUCCAGACUCCUACGGGAGGCAGCAGUGGGGAAUAUUGGACAAUGGGCGGAAGCCUGAUCCAGCCAUACCGCGUGGGUGGAGAAGGCCUUCGGGUUGUAAAGCCCUUCUGUUGGGAAAGAAAAGCAGCAGGUUAAUACCCCGCUGUUCUGACGGUACCCAAAGAAUAAGCACCGGCUAACUUCGUG
rnacentral:rRNA from 1 species